GCGAACGGGUGAGUAACACGUGGGCAACCUGCCCCGUUGAUCGGGACAACCCUAGGAAACUGGGGCUAAUACCGAAUGAGGUGCCAACUCAUAAGAGUUGUCACGAAAGGAAGCUUCGGCCUCCGCGACGGGAUGGGCCCGCGGCCCAUUAGUUAGUUGGUGGGGUAACGGCCUACCAAGGCAUCGAUGGGUAGCUGGUCUGAGAGGACGAUCAGCCACACUGGGACUGAGACACGGCCCAGACUCC
rnacentral:rRNA from 1 species